UACUGAGGGUGCAAGCGUUAUCCGGAAUUACUGGGUUUAAAGGGUGCGUAGGCGGCUUGAUAAGCCAGGGGUGAAAGCCUAUCUCUUAACGAUAGAAUUGCCUUUGAUACUGUAAAGCUUGAAAGGGGUUGAGGUCAGCAGAAUGUGGCAUGUAGCGGUGAAAUGCAUAGAUAUGCAAUAGAAAACCGAUUGCGAAGGCAGCUGGCUGGGCCUACUUUGACGCUGAGGCACGAAAGCGUGGGGAGCGAACAGG
rnacentral:rRNA from 1 species